GGACAGCCCUGGAAAUAUGAUGAUGGAAAAAUGCUGAUGGGUACCAGCCUCAAGGGUUAAGGCAAAGGAAGCAAUGCUCUAAAGUGGGAUUGCAGGAGUUCGCAAAAUUCCGCAAGUGCUUCCUGGGCAGGGUGUGCACAAGCUCCCCCCAGGAGAAAAUGCAGGUCUGGGAAUAAGCAGAGGAGUCGUAGGAAUGGCUCUACUGAAGGUGCUUGGGCCAGAGAACGCAGCUUGCAAGGCAACCUGAUGAUGAAAUCAAUAAUUUACCUCAUGGUACGGCUGAGAUGGGUUGAGUCUUCCCAAGUCAACUUAGAGGUAAGCAAGAAUGUGCCAUAACAGUGUGUUUUUGAACCACAGGAUAGAGGCUUAAUUGAUUUGCUCUUUAUUCUUUGCAAAAGACAGCUGAAUGUCAAAGGUCUUUCUUUUGUGAAGUACUGGAAAACCCGUUGUCAAACAACCUCUACUCAUUUAAUAAUUUAUCCCAUUUUGUAAAAGAAAGGCAGCUGACACGCACUAAAUCUAGUCCGUGUUUAAAUUACUGCAUUGAACAAUAAUAAGAGGAAUGAAUAAUCUAGUACAUCUAUUUAAAAUUAAACAUAUAUGAAACUGUUUUUCCAAAUGAUCACCAAGGGCUAUAGUUUAAAGGCAGGACAGAAGCCAUGAGCAGAAUGAAAAUGCCGAGCAGUAGUUUGCAAGUGGCAGCAGAAUUAUUUAUUCUAUUUUUUCUAUACAUAAGGAAUAGAGCUAAAUGAACAAUGUUUAAGCAUGUCAGAAUUUCAUCAAUUUUGCAUGAGCGUUCACAAAUAUCCUGGUGGGGGUAAUUGCUUGCAAAUACAUUUAAACUAAUGAUAUGUUAUGUCCUUACUUGAUAUAAAACUAUUAAAAGAUACGUUAUUGCAUUUGACAAUGCCAUGAAGCUGGGUCAAAGCUUAAUGACAGAUUUCUGCAUUCGUAAAUUAAGAUAUACUCUGCUGGAAGCAAAUAUUUUGUAAAAAUAAAAGCCAUCUACUACGA
rnacentral:lncRNA from 1 species